UACGUAGGGAGCAAGCGUUGUCCGGAAUCAUUGGGCGUAAAGCGUGCGCAGGCGGUUCUAUAAGACAGAUGUGAAAUCCCCGGGCUCAACCUGGGAACUGCAUUUGUGACUGUAGAGCUGGAGUACGGUAGAGGGGGAUGGAAUUCCGCGUGUAGCGGUGAAAUGCGUAGAUAUGCGGAGGAACACCGAUGGCGAAGGCAAUCCCCUGGACCUGUACUGACGCUCAUGCACGAAAGCGUGGGGAGCAAACAGG
rnacentral:rRNA from 1 species